GGGGUUGUACUGGUUUCGACAGGGGUUUUGAAGCCGGAGAAGCUAUCCGCAUGCAAUGCGUCAAAUGGCAAAAAUAAAUAUAAACGCUGAAGAUAAUUUAGCAAUCGCUGCCUAAGGGCAGCUGUCAGACUUAGCGCACCUACACGUUAAGACCCUGGCAUCGAUGAUGUAGGAAACGACAUAUGCAAAGCUUUGCGCAUAUGGGCGUAUCAUGAAGCUACUGAAGCCAUCAGGGUGUCUGUUCUCGGAUGGUGGAGGGAAUGUCAAAAAAUAGACUAUGAUAGUAGAAGGACGGGGGAUAGGCUUUUGGACAUGGGUUCGAUUCCCAUCAGCUCCACUC
rnacentral:tmRNA from 1 species